rnacentral:rRNA from 1 species
GCCUACCAAGGCUACGAUCAGUAGGGGUUCUGAGAGGAUUAACCCCCACACUGGUACUGAGACACGGACCAGACUCCUACGGGAGGCAGCAGUGAGGAAUAUUGGUCAAUGGGCGGAAGCCUGAACCAGCCAUCCCGCGUGAAGGAAGACAGCCUUACGGGUUGUAAACUUCUUUUCUGUCAGAAGAAUAAGCUUGUCGAGACGAGUGAUGCCGGUAUGACAGGAAUAAGCAUCGGCUAACUCCGUGCCAGCAGCCGCGGUAAUACGGAGGAUGCAAGCGUUAUCCGGAUUUAUUGGGUUUAAAGGGUGCGCAGGUUGUUUGAUAAGUCAGUGGUGAAAGUCUGUCGCUUAACGGUAGGAUUGCCAUUGAUACUGUUGGACUUGAAUAUGGAUGAGGUAGGCGGAAUGUGUAGUGUAGCGGUGAAAUGCAUAGAUAUUACACAGAACACCGAUUGCGAAGGCAGCUUACUAAUCCAUCAUUGACGCUGAGGCACGAAAGCGUGGGGAUCAAACAGGAUUAGAUACCCUGGUAGUCCACGCCGUAAACGAUGAUCACUCGCUGUUUGCGAUAUACAGUAAGCGGCUAAGCGAAAGC